GGAAACAUGGAUACCGUUGGAUCGAGAAAUGGACGUCCGAGAUUCGUCCACGUCACCAUGAGUUAAAAUUUAACUCCUAGUAAAAUUUCAACUCAUGAGUGAAUCUGCGAGUUAAAUUUUAACUCAGGGUGACGUGGACGAAUCUCGAACGUUUAUUUCUCGAUCCAAAGGUAGUUUCCAUGUUUUC
rnacentral:pre_miRNA from 3 species